rnacentral:rRNA from 1 species
UAGGGAAUCUUCCACAAUGGACGAAAGUCUGAUGGAGCAACGCCGCGUGAGUGAUGAAGGGUUUCGGCUCGUAAAACUCUGUUGUUGGAGAAGAACGGGUGUCAGAGUAACUGUUGACAUCGUGACGGUAUCCAACCAGAAAGCCACGGCUAACUACGUGCCAGCAGCCGCGGUAAUACGUAGGUGGCAAGCGUUGUCCGGAUUUAUUGGGCGUAAAGCGAGCGCAGGCGGUUUUUUAGGUCUGAUGUGAAAGCCUUCGGCUUAACCGGAGAAGUGCAUCGGAAACCGGGAGACUUGAGUGCAGAAGAGGACAGUGGAACUCCAUGUGUAGCGGUGAAAUGCGUAGAUAUAUGGAAGAACACCAGUGGCGAAGGCGGCUGUCUGGUCUGCAAACUGACGCUGAGGCUCGAAAGCAUGGGUAGCGAACAGGAUUAGAUACCCUGGUAGUCCAUGCCGUAAAACGAUGAGUGCUAAAGUGUUGGAGGGUUUUCC